rnacentral:lncRNA from 1 species
GUUUCAGCAAAUAGGAAGCUCUAGAAAUCUCAGCAGGCUUCUCCCUGUGGGCCUCCCAGCCCACUCUGAGGGCAAAGGAGAAUCAAAGAGGCUGCUUUAGGGCCCAGCGUCUGGGGCUUUUGCAGGGCAGAGGGCAGAAUCUCUUUUCCCAGCAACCCCCUCCCCCCACGACAGCUGGGAGCAACCCUCACCUCUGCUUCAAUCUGUACUCUUCCAGGCUGGCUGCCUGUACUCUGCCUGCCAACGUGGGGCUGUGGGGGCAGCAUCCCUCACAAGUCUGCAGAUGUGGACCUGGGCUUUUGUGAAAACCAACACCCAGUUCCUGCCAUAUCCCCAGGCUCUUUCCACAGGAGAGAAGUGGCAGGAAGGAACGCAGCCCUGACACUCAAAGGAACUCGGGGCAUCCUGCCUGUUCGUGUCCACACGUAGACAGAGUUUUCCUCUGUUG